GACGAACGCUGGCGGCGUGCUUAACACAUGCAAGUCGAACGGAAAGGCCCUGCUUUUGUGGGGUGCUCGAGUGGCGAACGGGUGAGUAACACGUGAGUAACCUGCCCUUGACUUUGGGAUAACUUCAGGAAACUGGGGCUAAUACCGGAUAGGAGCUCCUGCUGCAUGGUGGGGGUUGGAAAGUUUCGGCGGUUGGGGAUGGACUCGCGGCUUAUCAGCUUGUUGGUGGGGUAGUGGCUUACCAAGGCUUUGACGGGUCGCCGGCCUGAGAGGGUGACCGGCCACAUUGGGACUGAGAUACGGCCCAGACGCCUACGGGAGGCAGCAGUGGGGAGUAUUGCACAAUGGGCGGAAGCCUGAUGCAGCAACGCCGCGGGCGGGAUGACGGCCUUCGGGUUGUAAACCGCUGUCGCCUGUGACGAAGCGUGAGUGACGGUAAUGAGUAAAGAAGCACCGGCUAACUACGUG
rnacentral:rRNA from 1 species